GACGAACGCUGGCGGCGUGCCUAAUACAUGCAAGUAGAACGCUGAAGGAGGAGCUUGCUUCUCUGGAUGAGUUGCGAACGGGUGAGUAACGCGUAGGUAACCUGCCUGGUAGCGGGGGAUAACUAUUGGAAACGAUAGCUAAUACCGCAUAAGAGUAGAUGUUGCAUGACAUUUGCUUAAAAGGUGCAAUUGCAUCACUACCAGAUGGACCUGCGUUGUAUUAGCUAGUUGGUGAGGUAACGGCUCACCAAGGCAACGAUACAUAGCCGACCUGAGAGGGUGAUCGGCCACACUGGGACUGAGACACGGCCCAGACUCCUACGGGAGGCAGCAGUAGGGAAUCUUCGGCAAUGGACGGAAGUCUGACCGAGCAACGCCGCGUGAGUGAAGAAGGUUUUCGGAUCGUAAAGCUCUGUUGUAAGAGAAGAACGAGUGUGAGAGUGGAAAGUUCACACUGUGACGGUAUCUUACCAGAAAGAGACGGCUAACUACGUG
rnacentral:rRNA from 1 species